GGCGGCGGCGGCGGCAGACAGACCCGCGCGGCCGCGGCGACCGAACGCCACGCACGCCGCUCCCGCCCGCGCGCGCUCGCUCGCCGGACGCACCACCCUCGCCCACACUCGUCAGACCAGGACCUGACUCCUACCAACCCCGCACAGGAUUUACUGUGAUUCUAACAAGUGUUUGUACACACUUUUUGUGCAGUGAUUCUUAACUUGCAAAGUUUUCAACAGUGCUUUUAUGUGACAGAAAGUUUCACGAGUGUGUUGAUGCCAAAUUCAGUUUAAUAGUUAUGUUAUAGCUAGUAGUUUAUUGAAAGGUACAUAGACGAUAGUGUUGUAGUGUUAGAAAUUAAGUUUUGAAGUUAUAAAACUUUACUGAAAAAGUUCGUCAAAUUCAAGAUCUCAAAAGCCCAGCCCACCUUGAACAUGUCAUAAGGCUCAAAUUGGACAUGAGAGAAUGAGAGAUGGAAUCACGCAGCGCGCCGCCCAGCCCCGACGAGCGUCGGGAGGGCGCGGGGGAGAGCGGCGGGGUGCGGGGCGGCUGCGCGCGCGCCUACACCAGCUGCCGCGCGGCGCGGCCGCGGCACGGCGCCUCGCGCGACGACCGCCUGCUCACCAUGGCCGAGGUGCACGACUACCCCUCGUCCGAGUCCGGCAUCGCCGCCGACUGCCUGCCACCCGCGCUGCACGACGACAGCCCGAGCUACGAGCGCUCCGACUACGAGAGCGGCUACGGCGCGCGCCUGCCGCCCGCCUGCCACCACACGCUCGACUGUAAGCACCGCCCGGGGGACUACUCCCGCAGCCGCACGCCCGAGUGCGCGCACGAGCGCAUGUCGGAGUACGAGCGCCACUACGCGCGCUCGCAGACGGCGCGGCGCCAGCACCGCCACCACCGCCGCGACGAGGACGAGGCGCGCUCACUGGACGAGCGGUGCGCGCGCGACCUGGACGAGAUCCUGCCCGCGCGCCUCGCCGCCGUGGCACUGCAGCCCCGCGACCCGCGCGACCCACGCGACCCGCCCGCCGCCACCUGGGCGCGGACCAACAUCGCCGCCACCAUGGAACGCUUCGAGCCCAUGGACUACGCGUACGCGUAUUACGACCAUCAUUUAUCAAUGCCCUCGUCGUCGAGGAAAGUGAAUCGCCAACGCGGACGGGGCGGGCUACCGCGCGAGAGGAACGCCCGCCACAAUUACGUCACGCGGUACGGGACCGAGGAGAACAUUUACGAGGAAAUCACGGACGGGUCGCGGACGUGCCCGAAGCACCGCUACGGGCCGCGGCAGUCGCUGGUGUCGCUGGACCGCAGCGUGGUGGAGGAGGAGGUGCGGCGCGUGGAGUCGCGGCACAAGCGCAUCCUGGGCGAGCUGAACCUGAGCGUGGAGGCGAUGCUGAUGCCGGAGUGCGAGUCGCCGGACUCGGAGCAGGCGGAGGACCGCGACAACAUCGAGGAGCUGCUGCGCGUGGGCCCCACGGACGAGCUGCUGUCGCCCGCCAGCUGCAACCCGCCGGACCUGGACAGCGGGUUCAGCGGCAGCAGCAGCGGCGCCAGCUACGUGGGCAGCCUGCGCCGCAAGCCGGCGGGCUCGGCGCCGCACCUGCCGGCCGUGGCGUACGGCCCGCGCGGCGCCGGCGUGCGCAUCCUGGGCGCGGACGAGGCGGAACGCCGCGCCGACGCCGCCUCCCCGCGCUCCUCCAGCUGCGGCGACGCGCGCUCCACCGGCUUCUGGAACAAGAAGUCCUGGAAGAAGAUCUCCGGCUUCUCCAGCUCCAGCAGCAUCAACAAGGCCGGCCUCACUGGUCUGCUCGUUAGGUACACUUUCCGGCGUAAGUCUGGCUCUCAAGGCUCACAGAGCAAGCGGCGCCCGGAGCCCGCCGCGUGCGAUGCGUGUCUGUCGCAGCGAUGCUAGCCGCACCCGGAUGUGGAAGCGUGUAGGCCGAGCAGAGCUAAGUCCAGAACACCCACCUUACCGUACAGCUACUCAAACGGAAAACUGGUGGUGCCGUUGGAUUCCAUAGCACAGAGCUGAGGGUGCCGCCCGCCCCGCGCGCCGCGCCCUCCCCCCCUCCAGCUCCAGCGAGGGGCUGCUGCGGGACGCCGCGCCCUGCCCGCCGCCCUGAGCGGCGACCGUGACGCGGCGGCGCCCUGCCCGCUGCCCUAAGCGACCUACGGCACGCGGUGGCGUCCUGCCCACUGCCUUGAGCGACCUCCUGGAUGAAGCGACGCCCUAAGUGACCUGCGGGAAGCGGCAACGCCCUGUCAGGGGCCCUGAGCGAGCUGCGGACCUCCUCGGUCCCCAUUCUUUCAACGCAAACAUUCCACAUAAGAACACACUUUACUUGAAAAGACCAAUUCUUUAGCAUGGCCGAUGUGUAUUUAGUGUAAAUAACGAGAAUGACUAAAGAACGAUAGAAAUCAAAUAUAGGAGAGUAUACGUUAAAGUGAUAAAUGAGCCUAAUUAAUAUUGUGUUGUUGCAGAGCGCUUCAUAGAAGCGAGCGAACUCGUUGUUGUUAUCAGACGAUACAGUAGCUGAUAGGUACAAGAAAAGGCUGAAAUAAAAAUCGGUUUUCUUCUUCGUAAAACUGACGUUUUAAAGUUUAAUUCUUUUUAUAGUAGCAUACUUAUUGAUGUUCAGUAUUGUAUUAAUUCGAUUUUUGAUAUAUAUCAAUCUUAGUCGUUAAAAUGUUCAUGUAUCUGAUAUUAAUAAUAUUAUAUACAAUUGGAUAAUUUCCCGUACCGGACGAUGGUGCUUGACAUAAAUUAAGAUUUUCAUUAGAAAUGUUCCUUAAAAUAAAUUACGGAAACCUUUGUAUCCACAAUUCAGCAAGUCGACAUCAGAUCUUGAACGACUUCUUUAGAAUUUACACAAUACAGAUGCCGAGCGAUACUCAGAGAGGCCUAAUUUCCAACAAAAUUUACCGAGUUAAUCACAAAUACCUAUUCCUAGUCUUUUGAUAUGAGCAAUUGUAAGGUAAAUUAUUAAGGUAAGCAAAGUUGUUGAAGUUUAUUCUUUAUCGGACCAAUUCUAUCUGCUUGUGAUCAACUGAUCAAUUAACAAUCAAUAAACAUUUUCCGAUUUUCUAUCUGCCAGUGUCCAGGUACACUUUAUAAGUAUUUUAUACUAGCGUCUUAUUUUUUGUUGAGUAGCAAUGUGUGAACAUCUAUUUCCAUAAUGUUGAUGAGAAAAUUUACCGAUUACAUUAAAUUGAAAACAAAACCAGUAAUUCAUAGAAACAAUUAACAGUUAAACAGUUCCAAACAGGCGUUCAACAUUCUAUGAACUAUCUCGAUGAGCUCAAACCUAAUCGCUUAUGUUUAUUUGUAAAUAUCCUACAUGAAUUGAACUUUUGCAAAUAGUUUUAUUAAUAUUCCUACAUGUAUGUAUAAAUAAAUCUGUCCGUCAAAUUUUAAUUUAUAUUUGUGUAAUAUUUUUUUUUAUUUAUAAUAAAAAAUUUAGACAUAAACUAUUGCGUUAAAAUAACGUCAUUGUUAAUACUUGUUAAGUAUCUGUACAUUUUGUAAAUAGUCGAAGGAACAUGGUGCACAUUCUCUAUAUUAUGUAUGCAGUGACGGUAUUUGCAUUGGAGGCAGUGGUUAUUUUAAAUGAAUUUAUAUAUUGUCCAUUAUAAAGAACACAAGCUAUCACUCUUGAGUUCUUGAAUCUACACGAAUCUGUCUAUACUCUAGAUAAUCCAUUACUGUUGUCACCUUGUAAAUUUGUCUGAUUAUUACCUAUACUGUAAUUUACUGUCUCAAACUUGUCUUUAUCGUUAAUUUAAAAUUCACCAUAAUAUGUUUUUAAUCGUGUUUUAUAAUAUUGAUGUUACCGGAACAAGUCACAAUAUCAUAUUGUAUGUAUUUCAUUUAAUAUCUGUAAUUUAGCAACCAUGUUCAAGUCAAAAGAGAUUUUUAUUAAAUAAAAACGUAAAAUGUCA